rnacentral:tRNA from 1 species
GCCCCGUUGGUCUAUCGGUAGGACGUCAGGUUCUCAGCCUGGAACGGCCGGUUCGAUUCCGGCACGGGGUGC